UCCCCAGAUGUCCCCCAGAUGUCUCAAGCACAUAUUUCACCUAAACUCAUCACUUCUACAUGAUCCUUCUGGUGUUCAGACAGCAGCCACUCAGCUGUGCGGCUAUCUGCGUGAAGCUGUCUGGCACCUUGACCCAUUCGCCACACACAGAAAUUUUGCACCUGUCCCAGAUCUUUCUUUGGAGCUUUAUGAUCUGUUAGCAACAUUAAACAGCUACCUCUGUUGGAAUUAGAGACCAAUGGGACCAUUCCAUGUGAUUCCUGUGGUUCGUCUGAACACAGCUCCUCUCUUCUUGAAAGCACUAAGACAAACAGCUCCUACUUAGGACUCAACACAAAUGAAACCCAAAGGAAUACAGGAUCAAUACUAAGUAUUUUACAAGCAAAAGAUGGAUGCAGACUAUGAUCCGAAAUCCGAAGAACAGGCUUGUAUAUUAAAAGCUGCUAAUCAUUCUCAGGACUCUGAAAGCCUGUCAACAAAGACGUUCAAAAGCUGUCAUCCUGGGAGGUAUCCAAAAUUGGAAGCAGGCAGUGCACACAGAAUUCCGUAGAAGACAGACAGAAACUGUUCCUUCAUUAAGCAGUGGCAUCAAAAUCUAUCACCUCAGUAUUGAAAAGCACCAGAAAUAUGCAGGACAGUGAGAACAAGAGAACAAUGCUGAUUACCCACAGAGCGCUUGAGUUUGCCGGGACUGCAGAUAGACUCGUAGUCAAGAUCCACUUAGACACUUAACAGGCAUCUUAAAUUUAACAUGUCUAAAAUAGAACUUACCAUUUCCUCCCUUAUAAAUUGGUCUCCCCCAAUCUUCUCUCAGUAAAUGUGCUUCUAUCCAGCCAGCUGCUCAGGGAAAAAUCCCAGAAGUGAUAUUUGAUGCCUCUCUUCCCCUCAUUCCCUACAUCCAAACCCUCAGCAAGUAGACUCUGCUCCCAAAAUGUAUCCUGUAUCUAGUCACUUUACCCUCUCCAUUACUACCACCCUAAUCCCAUCACCACUGUCAAACAUCUGCACUGCCACAAUAACCUCUGACUGGUCCCCCCGCUUCCAAGUUUACCUUUCUGCAACUUAAUCUUUAUCCAGUUCUGCACUAGGUAAUUUCCUAGUUUCAGAAACAGUGAUCAUUUUAAUCAUAAAUAUUAUUUAAUCCUCUGCUUAUAACUCUCCAAUGGCUUCCUGUUGUACUUAGAACAAAGUCUAAUCUGCCAUUACUUCCAGGCCAUGUGUAGUCAGGUCUCCUCACUGUCUCUCUGACCUCAUCUUCCACUACACUGCCCCUUUUGCCCUCGUCAUGCUGGCUUGCUUUCUUCGGUUUGAACAUUCCCAUUGCAAGGACUUUGCAACUGCUGUUUCUUUGCAUGGAAUGCCCUUCCUCCAAAUCUUAAUGUGGCCCGUUCCUUCUCAUCAUUCAGGCUUUAGCACAAAUGUCUCCUUAUCUAGGAUGCCUUCCCUGAGUAAUGUUGACCCUCUCCACUAUACCUGCACACCAGGUACAUUCUAUCACAUCAUCCUGUUUUACAUUCUCUGUAGAACUUAAUACUAUCUGAAAUUACAUUAUGAAUGUAUAUGCUUACUUGAUUAUUGUAUGUCUCUCAACUAGGAUAUAAUUUUAAUAAAA